rnacentral:pre_miRNA from 1 species
GUGUGUGGUACCCUACUCCAGAGAGUGACAAUCAUGUAUUAUUUAAUAUGAUUGAAACCUCUGAGAGUGAGUAACACAUGA